rnacentral:rRNA from 1 species
UACGGAGGGAGCUAGCGUUGUUCGGAAUUACUGGGCGUAAAGCGCGCGUAGGCGGCUUUGUAAGUUAGAGGUGAAAGCCCGGACGCUCAACUCCGGAACUGCCUUUAAAACUGCAUCGCUUGAAUCCAGGAGAGGUGAGUGGAAUUCCGAGUGUAGAGGUGAAAUUCGUAGAUAUUCGGAAGAACACCAGUGGCGAAGGCGGCUCACUGGACUGGUAUUGACGCGUGAGG